AAUUGCAGUCCUUGAUACAUUUAAUAAAGAUUUAUGGACACUGCAAAACAACAUUCUCUCAAGUAGUUAGAAAAAGCAUGUACACUCAUUUCUGUCUCUUUUUUAGGUCUUUCUUUAAAAGUGGUGUCUCUUCAGCCCUAUUUUACCUUUCAAACAGUAGAAAGUAUGCAUAUAUGUUGCAUAUAUAAUCAUCUCCAUCUGUUUUAUCUUUCAGAUGGUAGAAGCAUGCAGAACUUUCUCUGAGGGAUGAAGUUGAAAACUGGAGGAUGAGAAAGCCUUGGAGCUUAAAAACAAAAAACAACAAACAAACAACAACAACAAAAGCAAACAAAUAAAACUCCAAACAGGAACUGGAACCACCACUAAUGAAACACAGCCCCAAGACACUUGAUACAAAGACACUUGAUACAAAGACACUUGAUGCAAAGAGGAAGCCAUCACCUGCAAGCCCAGGCCAUCCUUUUCUUGCUUACAGAAGGGACACUAAACCCGAGCAAGACUGGAGCACCGUUAUCUUUCACUGUUUCUGAACAGCAGGAAGAUAUGGCAAGGUCUCGUCACUGCCCUUUGAAGCCCUCCAGCAACCUUCAGUGUAAGUUAUGGUGGCUACUGUGUUGUCCAUGUAGCCACAGUGAUAACGGAUGUAAGUUCAACCGGAAUCUCACCUGUCUUCAUCCCACGCCUUGUUCUAUCCUUUGACUCACUGUGUGAGCAUGGACAAAUUUGUUAACUUGAGACCCUCCCCUUACUCAGUUGUGAAGCUUGAAUAAUGCCAACCCCAUAGAGGUCUAAGCAUGAGAGAAAAAAAACACUUGAUUACAUUUGAAAAAGCUCCAAAAAGAUGUGGCCACAUCAAAUGAGAAUAGCUAUUCAAUAACCUCUAUAUGCUACAUGUUUUGUAUAAUUAUUAUCACUGAAUUGUAUUCCCAUCUCUGUGUUCAUAUAUCUAUUGAUACAUUUAUUCAAUAAAAUCUUAUUUGCAAACAGCA